GUCGUAAAUAGCUGAUGUAUAAAGAGUCUGGUUGCCCUUUCACGGCGGUAACAGGGGUUCGAAUCCCCUUGGGGACGCCA
rnacentral:tRNA from 1 species